rnacentral:rRNA from 1 species
GACGAACGCUGGCGGCGUGCCUAAUACAUGCAAGUAGGACGCUGAAGAGAGGAGCUUGCUCUUCUUGGAUGAGUUGCGAACGGGUGAGUAACGCGUAGGUAACCUGCCUUGUAGCGGGGGAUAACUAUUGGAAACGAUAGCUAAUACCGCAUAACAAUGGAUGACACAUGUCAUUUAUUUGAAAGGGGCAAUUGCUCCACUACAAGAUGGACCUGCGUUGUAUUAGCUAGUAGGUGAGGUAACGGCUCACCUAGGCGACGAUACAUAGCCGACCUGAGAGGGUGAUCGGCCACACUGGGACUGAGACACGGCCCAGACUCCUACGGGAGGCAGCAGUAGGGAAUCUUCGGCAAUGGGGGCAACCCUGACCGAGCAACGCCGCGUGGGUGAAGAAGGUUUUCGGAUCGUAAAGCUCUGUUGUAAGUCAAGAACGAGUGUGAGAGUGGAAAGUUCACACUGUGACGGUAGCUUACCAGAAAGGGACGGCUAACUACGUGCCAGCAGCCGCGGUAAUACGUAGGUCCCGAGCGUUGUCCGGAUUUAUUGGGCGUAAAGCGAGCGCAGGCGGUUUGAUAAGUCUGAAGUUAAAGGCUGUGGCUCAACCAUAGUUCGCUUUGGAAACUGUCAAACUUGAGUGCAGAAGGGGAGAGUGGAAUUCCAUGUGUAGCGGUGAAAUGCGUAGAUAUAUGGAGGAACACCGGUGGCGAAAGCGGCUCUCUGGUCUGUAACUGACGCUGAGGCUCGAAAGCGUGGGGAGCGAACAGG